GCAAUAUACAUGGGUUUGUCACGGUCUAUACAAUCAUUCUAAAGUCCCGGCCGGCCCUCAGUUCCCUAAGAGAGUUACCAGUUGCUGCGAGAUAUCACCUAAAAUUGGCAACAGAAAUUAAGGUCCUGCGCAGCAAAGUAUUUAUACAACUGCUGGGGCCACUCCGCGGGGUGUGGAGGCGGAGAGGGAGGAGGAGUGAAGGUUGUUUACAAACUUUACGUACAUACUCAGCACCAUUCUAAAGUUCUAGAAUUGGUGUUUACAACCUUCGGAUCUAGGGGUGUUCUGAUGACCUGGGUUCCAGUGCCUGGUUUAUGCCCACCCCAGCCAUAACCUUCGGCAGAAUGGAAGGAUUCCUGCGCUUUGGCCCUAGGUCUUGGGGCGGCGAUGACUCACGGCAGCACCCCCUUACCCCCCCGCGCGUCAAACUGCCGUCUCCGCCCACCCCCAAACAAUCUCAACAACGAGCCGAGCCGCAGCUCCUGGCGCUUUGCUGGGGGCUGGAGGGGCUCAUCGCUGUGCUCGUAUCCCAGCAGGCUAAAACCUUCCCAGUCCUACUCUUCAAGCUUGCCUCGUUCCCCCACCGGACCCUUCCGUUGAGCAGUGGAGACAGAUGCGACAUCCCAACCGGGGACGCAGGAUCCACCAACGACAGCGCUCGGCAGGGGCAGCCAAGUGGCCCGGGCCAUCCAUGGCAUGGAAACCGUUGCCCUGCUAUACGACAGUGAACAAAAAACUGUUUCUGCUCUUGAGGAAUUCAUGUUUGGUGAAACACCUGGGACCUGCUUCUUUCCCUUCGAACGCUGAGGGCUCUGUCUCCCAAGUUCUGUCGCUGGAAGGCGUAUUAUGAAAUGGGAUGUACCGUCAGAGACAGAGGUAAGAAAUCUGAACCGCAUGGCCUCACAUAAACCCACAAGGUCUCUGUUAGGGGCUCCUUCCCCUUUCAACAGGUGUAAGGACAAAGGGCCCAUUGUCCUUAGGAGCCUAUAGGAUAAGUAGAAAGAACAUGUCCUUGCUGGUUAGUCCGCUGGCGAUAAAGAGUAUUGUUUUAUCUCCUGCCAUCUCCACGGUUCCAUGGGAUGAGUUCUAUUGUGGCACAAAGUCCGCUUUGUCUUUCCAACCCAGUGAGACGUUUAAAUUGACCUUUCAUAUAUUCCUUGGUUGUCACAACCUGAGCACUGAGUUGGUAUUAUGUAUUGAGAGGAUUAUCAAUUUCUUUCUUCUCCAAGGGCACUGUCAUCCACAGAGAUGCUAUGAUGCUGAAAAACAGUGUGAUUCUCUUCUGCUUAAGAAAAAUAAAGUCAUAGACUUUUUUUUUUGGUUUCCAGAAGAACUGAACAGACUACCGAGUUCCCAUCGACCCCCUCACAUUGCUUCCUCCCUCAGUCUCCCACAUUACUGACAUCUUGCAUUACUGGGGUACAUUUGCUGUCAUUGGUGAGCCUAUAGUGAUACAUUGUUAUUAACUAAAAUCCAUAGUUUACAUUACAUUACUCUCUGUAUCUUAUAAUCUUUGGGGUUUCACAAACGUAUAAUGACAUGUAUCACAUUAUAGUAUCACGAACAAUAGCUUCCCUGCCCUAAAUCUCCUCCUUGCUCUAUUAGUCUUCCCUCCCCACCAACCCAGGCAACCACUGAUCUUUUUCUUGUCUCCACAGUUUUGCCUUCUCUAGAAAGUCAUACAGUGGGAAUCCUAUAGUAUGCAGCCUUUCCAGUUGGCGUCUUCCACCUAGCAAUACGCAUUUAAGGCUCCCCCGUGUCUUUUGGGGAUGGGAUAGCUCCUUUCUUUUCAUUGGUGAAUAACCUCUGCUUAAUAUUUAAAGCUUCUAGUGUUCGAGACCGGAAUGGUUAUCCACCCCCCUCCCUCCCCCACCCGCCGCAACUGGCAUGUGCACAUUCAUUAAGAUUACUAGUCAUCACCCAAGUUUUAAAAGUGUUAUUUCAGGGAGUUAAAUACGAUUUCAGACCAGCUUCAAGUACCUUUUGUACAGCUGGAGAAAGAAAGCAAAUUCUCCUAUCUCAAUCACAGCCAAAGUAGCAGUGGUCUGUUUAGGCUGCAGGCAACAAUGGACUUCUUGGCAUUUUUACCCAGAAGAAUUUAUAUCCAUAGAACUAGUGUUUUCCCUAAAAUAAAUGAUAUCCUGGUUUUUUGUUGUUGUUUUUUUUUUUUACUUCCAGCAACAUCAGAGGCUCACUUACCUGAUUCGUGAUAACAUUCAUUUUUAAAACAUGAAUCCAGCAUUUUUAAAUUUAUCUUUAUUUUUUGCCUUAGACUUCCUAAAUAGCACCCAUCUAGUCCUUGCAAAGAACAGUGGAGGAGGAGCUCCCAUUCGCUUAUUGCGUUUGAGACUCAUAAAAGGUACAGGCUUUCAAAUUCGAGGGAGUAAAGUUAGUUUCCUGGCUCUGUCCGUCACUAGCUGUGUGUCUUUUAACAAGCCAUCCCACCUCUCCUAGCCCCAUUUUUCUCCUUUGUAAACUGCAACUAAUAAUAGGCUCUCUCUUUUAUGACUGUUAUGGAUAUGGAAGGAGAUAGUCCAUGGAGAGCAUACAACAGUUUCAAGCACCAAAAAACGUCCUUGAACAUCAUCCAGUCCCCAUCAGGCAACUGGCCUGUGUGAAAAGGAAACGCUGAGUAUCGUGUAGGUGCUCAUUAAAUUUUUCCUGACUGAUCAAGGGGGCAAAGGGAGGGCAAAUCCUUUCAUGUGUGGACUCUCAGCACAGACAUGUACGGAAGGAAGCUGACUUAACCGGGAUCAAGCACGAUGGAGGAGAUAAGGUGCCCUGUGCAAUCUUACAUGACCGGGGACACCACUUCUAGGACCUUUUGCCCCUGCUCCUGCUGAGACAGGGCCCCUACCUACCACUAACUCACAUUCUUCUCUUCGUCACCCUUGCAAAGCCCAUUUCCCGAGCAAGUGUAUGCUUUGGUAAAGUGAUUAGCAGCCAGCCUGGCUCCUACAUUUAAUGAACACUUUGUUUAGGGUGAAACACUGGGUACUGAACCAUUCUCGGUCUCCCCUUCUCCUCACCCUUCCCCCUACAUGUCGCAGAUAAAAUGAUUGGCCAGCUAACAGUUACUGAGAUGCCAUUGGUGCAAGAAAUCCCAACCCCUCCAACCUAAGGGUUAACGACAUACCCUGAGUGUCCUUUUUUUAUCUUAUGCUUGCUUUUUACUCACUUUCAUUCUGUGGAUGAAGACUCUCUUGCCAAAGACGGGGGAAAUAAACUCAGACGCAUCCUGCCUCCCUUACAUCUUUGUGGAUCUGUAAACUGUCAGAGAUACAGAUGAAAAUCCACUAGAGCAUGCUCAGAGCAGUUACACAAAGGCCAUGCGAGAUCGGAGCAUGAAAGCCUGAUGUUAGGGGAAGCUAUCACCUAAAAUGCUACCAACUUGGCUCUGUGUGAAGACACGAAUAAACAUUGGAGAUGCCAACAAAUAGUGACCAAUUGCCACGGUUAAGGAUGGCCUCAACUGUGUAAAAAAGCAAUAACGAAAACGAAAACAGUUAACAGCAAAGGGUCAAAGUAGCCACGGCAGUCAGUGAGAAAGUGAGAAAGCUUAGUGGCUAAGAGCGCGCAUCUGGGAAUGAGCCCGGACUCGAAACCUGGCUUGACCUUUCACCUUUUAACCAGGCAACCUAUUUAACUGCUCCACACCUCAAUUCCCCCAUGUGCAAAAUGGGCUCAAUCAGCAUCCACCUCUGAGGAUUAUUUUUUGAAGCCCUAAAGAGGUAAAAUAUAUAAGGUGCGUGGCUCAGGCAGACUUUCAAUGAGACUCAGCUCUUAUUUUUGUUAUGUUAAUGAGGACUGCAGGCCAAGGGACACGGUAACAUGCAGCAGUGUCCCAAUUUUAUCACCAUAAGCCUUUUAUUCCAGGACAUCUUUGGAGGUUACUGUUCUACAGAAAACAAUUUGGGAAAUGCUGCCUUAAAUAAAUAAAACCUGAGACUUUGGGGGUGGGCAGUAUGGCUGUUCGUCUUAGAUAUCCUCACUAGCAAGUUAAAAGUUUCAAAAUCAUGUUUGUGGGUGUUUCUAUCACAUUUGGGGCGUCAGGUUUUAGGUCAGGAGCCUCAAUGCUGUCCGCAUUUCUGUGGAAAAUCAGAUUUCAUUUACAUCAUUCCUACUUACGGCAACUUUUCUGGGACCCAAAUAAAAACAAGGACUGCCUGCACAAAUUGGCUAUGAGAUUUGCAAAGCAAAAUCUGCCUUUUGACCCAUAUCCUGGAAGCAGCUCUCUGCCUACCCCAUCCUGCCCCGGGUCAGAAAUCCCCCUUGUGUUCCAUGAGCACAGAAGCCAUCGCCUACCCCAUGGGGGGAGGUACGAGGAGCCUGGAAGAAGCAUCUUCAGCCUCUCUGGAGAAAGAUAAACUGCGUGCAAGGUUAUGGGUAUUUUAUGAUCUGUUAUAGAUGGAUAAUCCAAGGUACAGGCUUGCAGCUUGAAUUUUUUUUCCCUUUAAAGCAAGGAAGCUUAGCAGUUAAACUCAUUUUCCAUAACUCCCAAAGUGGUUUUGCAAUAAAUCUGUGAAUUUAAUCAGCCUCCUCUGUUGAGGCAAUCUUGCCUAAUUGGGUUCUUGUGAAGAAUAAUAGACAUGAUGACAAAAAUACUUCAUCUCUGCAAGGGAAGCCAGAGUCUCAUCAAUAAUACCGAUAAUAGAGCUCCCAUUCCCCUAACAAAACGGAGCAUAGGGCUCACCUGUCUCAGGUACUGUGUGCUUUUUAGACCAUCACUCUCUUUCUCCUCCUACCUGGCCAACAGCAAGAAAGUAAAAAUCCCAAAAUGAAAGAUGACCGUUGCCAUGGGCUUUAGCCAGUAACUAGGUCGACUCCUAAGUAGGCUUCUAGAAAUUUUCUAGAAAAUUACAACAGAGAAGUGGGGAAUUGCCUUUGAAAUGAAACUAAACAUGGAACACAGAAUCCCAACAACGCGAUUUUGUUUUGUUUCUCUGGUCGGCGAUUCCGACUCCUCUCUCCCAAUCCUGGGAGUAAUGGUGGGGUCUGGAAGGGCCCCUGCCAGGAGUGUAACAUGCACAGCUGUUGGCCGUCAGCUGGCAAACCAACCUAGUGACAAAAUCGGCCACUGGAGCUAGAUGCCACAUGUUUUCCGAUGACCGGACAGACAGGACCUCCAGAUCUAGCUGGGAUCUGUCCUACACAGGUUGGGGGCUGAAAAAGGAAGAUCCUAAUAUCGGAGGCAGGCCUGGCAGGGUUGCUCACCCCUGUGGAAGGGGGUGAGGAGCAACGGCAAACACAACCUAGGUUUUUCCAUCCUGGAGCAUGAGAGAAGCGAAGCGUGAUAAUUGAAAUUAGAAAUGGAGGGAAAGGCGUAAUUUCACAAGGAUGUCAUCUGCCGCGGCCUUCCCAAUGAGCUCAGCAUUCCAGCACCCUCCUCACUCUUUGCGUGGGAGAACAUUCCUGACUUGUCCCCCCAUCCCUGCUCAUGGCCCUCGGGGGUCAGUAGAUCAUGUAGGUGAUAAACACAGGAACUCACCUGUGGUCAGCAGACACAGCGCCAAAACUGCAGGAAGAGAAGUAAAAAAUGCCACCUUCCCCACGAACUGGACACAAAUGCUUGCUCGCACAACAAAAGAUGUUGUGCACUUGGUCUCCUCUAGCUUCAGGCCUUCACUAACACAUGAGUCAGGGCACUGAGGGGGCACAGAUGCAAUAAAAUCCCAGGUUUCCUCGUUUGAGCCCUGAGUUGUGGUUUCUCUGCUUCCUCCCACUGGACGGCUUCAGUAUGAAUUGCUCCCAAAACCAACAGUAAAAUUUAACCACCACUCCUUGCAGGAAAAGAAGAAAUCCUCAUCUCUUCAGAGAAUUUACUUUUGGUGCAAGUCUUGCUGACUUUGGCUUGUGCCUCACACGCACGCAAGCGUGCCCACGCGCGCGCACGCUCACACACACACACACACACACACACACACACACACACACACACAGCUGUGGGGGUUUCCAGAUGAUCCUUCUAAGUAGACCAGGGCUCUAACAAUGUGUUGUCCCCGGACAAGAAGGGUAAGAAUGGCAUUAGAACUCAUUACAAAUGCAAAUUCAUGGUCUCACACAGCCCUGCUGAAUUGAAAGAUCUGACGAUUGGGCCCAGCAUUCUGUGUUUUUUUAACAAGCCUUUAAGUGAUUCCAAUGCACCCUUAAUUUUGAGAACUCCUGCUAUAGGCUGAUCAUUUGUCCAGAAUUCCUUACAAUUUUAUGCCUGUAUAUUUGCUCCUUCUGUCUGCCCCAGUUGGCAUGCUUCUUUCUCUUCUGCUUGGUAGCCUCCUAUUCAGUCUUUAAAGCCCUUUAAGAAAUACCCUCUUCUAUUUAUAAAUAUCCCCCCACCAUUCUGUCUACCCAAGCAGAAUUAAUUGUCCCUGAUUUGUUUUUUGACAAUAUAUCAUAUCAUAUUAUAUUAUAUUAUAUUAUAUUAUAUUAUAUUAUAUUAUAUUAUAUUAUAUUAUAUUAUUAUUAUAUUAUAUUAUAUUAUAUUAUAUUAUUAUUAUAUUAUAUAUUACAAUCAUCAUGUAUCUGUUUUCCACACCAGGCCGAGAGGGCAAGAAAAUGUCUAAUUCAGCAAAUGCCUUAUACAAGAUAUCAUGGGCCUAUUAUUAUGUUAGCUCUGGUGAUGCCAAAAUAAAAUAAUAAAAAUAUUAAUUAAAAAGUA